ACCCAAUAGAUACCCGGGUAGUCCUAGCUGUAAACGAUGGGCACUUGGUGUUGGGGGUAUUGAGUCCCUCGGUGCCGGAGUUAAACACGUUAAAGUGCCCCGCCUGGGGAGUACGGUCGCAAGACUGAAACUCAAAGGAAUUGACGGGGGCCCGCACAAGCGGUGGAGCAUGUGGUUCAAUUCGACGCAACGCGAAGAACCUUACCGGGGCUUGAACUGUAAUUGCUACUCCUGGAAACAGGGGAUUCUCUUCGGAGACGGUUAUAGAGGUGCUGCAUGGCUGUCGUCAGCUCGUGUCGUGAGAUGUUGGGUUAAGUCCCGCAACGAGCGCAACCCUUACUCUUAGUUGCCAUCAGGUAAUGCUGGGAACCCUAAGAGAACUGUCGGCGAAAAGCCGGAGGAAGGUGGGGAUGACGUCAAGUCCUCAUGGCCCUUACGUCCCGGGCUACACACGUGCUACAAUGGCUGGUACAAAGGGUUGCCAACCCGCGAGGGGUAGCUAAUCCCAAAAACCGGGUCCCAGUUCGGAUUGCAGUCUGCAACUCGACUGCAUGAAGGUGGAAUCGC
rnacentral:rRNA from 1 species